GUGUCGCUUCGGCAGCACAUAUACUAAAAUUGGAACGAUACAGAGUAGAUUAGCAUGGCCCCUGCACAAGGAUGACAUGCAAAUUCGUGAAGUGUUCCAUAUUUUU
rnacentral:snRNA from 1 species